rnacentral:rRNA from 1 species
UACGGGGGGGGCAAGCGUUGUUCGGAAUUACUGGGCGUAAAGAGCUCGUAGGCGGCUUGUCGCGUCGUCCGUGAAAACUCACAGCUCAACUGUGAGCUUGCGGUCGAUACGGGCAGGCUAGAGUUCGGUAGGGGAGACUGGAAUUCCUGGUGUAGCGGUGAAAUGCGCAGAUAUCAGGAGGAACACCGGUGGCGAAGGCGGGUCUCUGGGCCGAUACUGACGCUGAGGAGCGAAAGUGUGGGGAGCGAACAGG